CAGAGUCUCACAUCUCUCACUGCUGAUUUCUGAGCAACGUUGAUGCUUUGAUAGCCUACACUAACCAGCUUUUGGUCGUGUUUGUCCCAGUUUUGUCUGUCCCAGGCCCAGUAAAGCAAGACUUGAGUAACCAUCCACCUGUUCUCCGUGUGAUUUGAUCCACACACACACACAACCAGUCACAU